UCUUAUAAUGCAUUUCGCACUAAAAAGUACGUUUUAUGUGGGGAAAUAACAACCUAUUUUGACUUAAGCAGUUUUACUCCAGAUAAACACAUGGAUAUUUGAGCCUUUGUCGACUUAAGCAGUUAUAGCCAUUUAUAAAGUGCACCGCGUGUAAGUGCGUAUGCAGAAUUAAGCUGUUUUGAGAGAUAAAAAAACGCGAUUUUAGUUGAGCAGAGUGAAACGUUGUGUUUCAAGCAAUUUGUUUAUUGGCUGUUUAUACGUAUUGUUAGCUUUUUUUGUGUUAAAUAUGUGUACGAGAGGCAAGAAAAUAGUUGCCAUGACUUUAAACGUCGAGAAGAGAGACAAGGAUCACGGAAAAGGUAAGGAAUAAUAUUAAGAUAAUAAUUACCGUAAAAUUUUUAGGUUAAGUUUGCAUAGUUUUAUUUUUUUAUUGAAACAUUUUUACUGUAGUUGGCGCAAUUUAAAUUAAAGAUUCGUGAAAAUAUUUUUAUUUUAAAUGCGGAUUAGGUCGUGUUCUAAUAUUUAAACAAAAACAAUGUUUCUAUUGUUUUUUCUAUAACUGCGGUUUAUCUGACUGAAUUUACUUUACAUGAAAAUAUCUUACACACAUUAAAAAACAAGAAACUGCAAUAAAAUUGUAUUAUUUUAAAUAGAUAUGACUUUGCUUGAAGCUGCAGAGACCACAAUACCUAAGGUAAUAGCUGUUGAAAAGUUGUUUGACAUUCCAAAUGGAUCAGGCAACGAUUAUAUUGAAUUUGAGUCUUUAAGAAGCGAUGAACCAGUAACAGAAGAGACUGUUUUAGAAGAAAUUACCCUUGAUAUGCCAAUUAUCAUUACUGAAGUAAAAACUAUGAACAAAAAUAAAUCUGAUCUGACUUAUGGGGUAUCAGAAUUUCAAGAUUAUUAUGAAAACAGAAUCUUUGUUGAACAGC